UGGGGUGUAAUCACAGAGCAGCUGACACUCCCCACUCACUGCCUGGAGGAGCUUGGCGGUGGGAUCGGGCAAGGCGGGAAAGAUAGGUGUAAAACAAAGCCUGGCACUUAAUUACAGUGCAAAGAUCUCAUUAUAGAGUCUUCUCAGCUCCCCUCCUCGGCUGGCAGCUUGAAGCCUGAGUGACAAAUUGCCUAGGUGGAUGCUGCAAGACCAGCAGGGGCCUGGCUUAUCAUGCAACUUUGUGAAUAUGUGGGAGAGAGGAGCCUUCCAGACGGUGUUAUGGCCUCCCAGGAACUCCCAAAGCCCCCUCCCCAGGGUGGCAUCUGGUUUUGGACACUGGUUUCUGUCACUGAGCUCCAGGGACUCAUGUCACACCUGGAAGAACUUUUAGAUUCUGUCUGCCUGGCCAUGUCUUCCAACAGCCGAGAUCAUUGAGGAAGAUGACAACUUCUACCUGAACAGCCAGGACAGCUUAGGGUCUUCUCACAUGUGGACCUUGAAAUGCACUUCUGUUAUUUUUCUCCAGUAUAUUCAGGGGAAGGGGGCUGGUGAUCAAAGCUUUUGCUGAGCAGGAACAGAAGGGUUGUCACUUGCUUUUUUCUCCACUGAAACCUAGAGUAGCAAACACAUCCUCGGGGUGCUAUGUGAUGCUCACAGGCAGAGCCCUGCCAGAGGUUCCCGUCAUUCCCAUAUAUUAAACCUUCAAUGUCUUCCCUAUGAACUACAAACAAAGUUUAUAUUCUAGGUCAAAACCCCAUCGUCUAGCCCCUGACAACUUCUCUAGGCUUGUCUGCUUCCAGCCCCAACCUCCCAGUCCCCAGCCUCAGCAGCUGCCUUCCACUUGCUUAAGGUCUUCACGCAUGCUAUUUCUUCUACCUGGAAUACUCUUUCUCCAUGACUUUGCGUAGCUCACUCCUACCCACAUUUUAGUGUUCCCUGUAAUGUAACUUCUUCAAAGAGAACUUCCCUAACUCUUCUAAUUAAAUUAGGUCCCUCCCAUUAUUCUUCCUCUUUAUAACCUAUUCUUUUCCUUCACAACUCUCAUUUCAAUUUAUGAUUUUACAUGGACAUGUUUAUUGGUUCAAGGUCAGCCUGUCCUUCAUACUUAAUAGAUUUAAUAGACUGUAAGCCUCACGAGGGUAGGGGCCAUGUCUGAUUUGUUCACUUCAAAUCCAGUAUCUGACAAGUGUCUCCCUAUAAAUAUUUAUUGAUGAAUGAAUGAGUGAAUGAAUGAUAUCAGCAAUCUUUAUCUUAAAAGAUAAAAUUAGAACUCAAUAAACUUGUAAACAUAAGCAGUAGUGACUAUUUCCAUUAAAAAAGGUAGCAACCAAAACAAGAUUCAAGGAAAUACAAAUACCAAGGUUUAUUAGGUACUUCUUAAAACUAACCAUCCAUUCAACAAAUGUGUAUUAAGCUUCCGUAGCCCUUGUGCUUCUUGCCAGAAAUACAAAUCUAAAUACGAUCUGGCUCUCAGGAGCUUGCAGCCUGGGGGAGUAGGGUUGGACAUGUAAAUAAAUGGUUAUAGUGUAAUUUGAUAAAUGCUGCAAUAAUAUAGGUAUCUAACUCUGCCUGGGAGUGCCUAUAUCUGGGACUUGGUGAAAAAGAAAAAGAUGACUUUGUCACCUGGACGGGACAGAGGGAGGGCAUUCUGGGCAGGAGACGAAUGAAGGAAUGUGGCUCAUUUGGGGAACUGCCAGUGGUUUGGUAAAUGGAGCGCAGGUUGUGUGAAGGAUGGAGGCGGUUGAAGAGGUAGGUAGGCAAUCACCAGAUCCCACGUUCAUGCACAUGUGUUCUGCUGAGGAGUCUGGGCUAUGCUCUGCCUCCCUGUAGGGCUUGGGGAUCCACUGGAUGGUGUUAAGCAAUGGAGUGGCACCACACCUUCAUAUUUAUAGACAAGAAGUUAUAACCCUAAUGGCAGUGUGUAAAAUGAAUGGAAUGGGGGAUGGGAUGGUUAGCAGAAAGUAAGCCCAGUUAGGAGGCUACAGCAAUUGUCUAAGCAACGAUAAUAAGAGUCUAAAUUAAAGCAGUGGCAUUCAUUCAUCUCUGUUGAUAUAUAUUAUUUGAUGGUUAGUUUUUUGAUGAUAAAUAUUUGUUGAUGCUUAAAAUAUAUUUUGAUGCAUAAUAUUAUACCCCAUCCCAUGCUAGGUGGUAGGGUAUAAUAUUAAUAGUCAAUAUUUAUUGAGUGCUUACCAUGUGUCCUGUUCUUUUCUAAAUACUAUACAUGCAUUAACUGAUUCAACCCUCACCACAACCCUAUGAAUCAGUACUAUUAUCAUCCCCCAUUUUACCAAUGGGGAAACUGCGGGAGAAGAGGUCAUAUAACUUCCACUUACUUAGAUACCUAAUAAUUGAUGGAGUCAGGAUUUGAAUCAGGUAAUUGGGCUGCAAAAUUCAUGCUGUUAAGCACCAUCCCUUACUGAUAUUGUGGUAAUGAACAAGCUGGACAAGGUCCCUGGUCUCAUGGAACUUACAUUCUGGCACUGGAGAUGUAGAGGAGAAGACAGAGUGGGGCAAGGUUUAGAUUGUAGAAUCAGAAAAACUGGAUCCUUAUAAGAGAAAGAGCAGUCAGGGCAAAUUCACAAGACACUGGCUUUGUGAUUGGUGGAUAGUUGUGUCAGUCAUGGAGUUAGGAAAUACAAGCUAGGGGUGGUAGGGUGGCGGAAGGUGAACUUGGAGGGAUGAGUUCAUUUUGGGAUAAACUGGUGUUGGACUGACUGUGGGAUAUGGAGGUGGAGCCAUCGAGUGAGCAGUUGAAGUCAUGUGUCCAGAGCAUAGAAAAGAUGUUUAUAUGGAGACAAUGGGGGGAUCAAAGAUGGGGGGACAGUUGGAGACAUAGGCGGAAAACAAUAGCUAGAAGACAGGCUUAGUCCAAGAGUUCAUAAAGGAAAAGAUUGAUAAAUUCAACUGCCUUAAAAUGAAGACCUUGUGUUCAUCAAAAGACAUAUUUAAAAGAAUAAAAAGAUAGGAAACAAAACCAGAGAGAUGCUUGCAACACAUAUAACUGCCACAGCCCAAGCAUCCAGAUUAUCUUCAGAACUCAUACAAAUCAGUAAGAAAAGUCAGUAGAAAAAUGGACAAAAGAUACAGGCAGAUACUUCAUAAAAGAGGAAAUAUAAGAUGACCAAUAAAUAAAUGAAAAAGUACCAAACCUCAUUAGAAAUCUUAGAAAUGCAAAUUAAAGCUAUAAUACAUCACAUAUUAUAUAAAUCAUAUUGGCCAAAAAUAAAAUGUCUGACAAUAAAAAGUGUUGGUGACGAUAUGGUGCAAACAGAAUUCUCACUUGUUGCUAGUGGAAAUGUGAAUUGGUAUAACCACUUGGUAGAAGUUUGGCACUGUCAUGGAAACUUGAAGAUUCACAUGCCCUAAGACCUAGGAACUCCAUGCCUAGGUGCAUAACCUGAUAUGCUCAUAUGCCACAAUAUAUAUACGAAAAUCUGUAAGGCAGCAUUGUUUGUUAUAUCCUUUGUACUAGACAGCUUCUAUGAUGGCUCCCUAAGAUUUCUGCCUCCUGAUAUUCAUGCCUUUCUGUAAUCUUCUCUCCUUAAGUGUGAACUGGACCCAGCAACUUCUUCUAACAAAUAGAGCAUGACAAAAUUGAUGGGAUAUCACUUCUGAGAUUAGAUUACAAAAGGAUGUGACUUCUGCCUUGCUCACACUCUCUCUCUGGCCCUCUUGCGUGCUUGCUCUCAUGAAGCUGGCUGUCAUAUUGUCAGCUGCCCUAUGGAAGGACCCAUAUGGCAAGGACUCAAGGGAAGCCUCUUGCCAACAGCUGGUGAGGAACUGAAGCCAUCAGUCUAACAGCCUGUGAUAAAAUGGUUCUUGCCAACAACCACUUAAGCGAAUUCAGCAUCGAAUCAUCCCCAGCUCAAGCCUUAAGAUGAGACCAUAGCCCCAGCUAACACCUUGAUUACAGUCUUGUGAGAGACCAGAGCCAGAGGACCUAGCCAAGAGUCCAUGCCUGGAGUCUCAAUCUACAGAAACUGUCACAUAAUACAUGGUGUUUUAAUCCACUGUGUUUUGGCAUGAUUUGUCACACAGCAAGAUAACUAAUACAAAUCACCAAACUAGAGAUCCCUCAAAUGGUCAUCAAAAGUAGAAUGGAUAAGCUGGGCUGGGCUCAGUGUCCCAUGCUUGAGCCCAGGAGCUCAAGAUUGUAGUGUGCAAUGAUCACACCUAGAAAUAGCCACUUCACUCCAUCCUGGGCAACAUAGUGAGAGCCAAAAAUAAAAAAUAAAAAUAAUAAAUAAAUAGGAGUCAUUGAAUGAAUUUCAAGGUGGGAGUGGCCAAUGGUGCCAACUGUUCUAGAGUCAAAUACCAAAAGAAGUGAAGUUUCCCGACUGGAUGCGACAAGUUGCAGGUUUGCAGACCUGAUUCUGAGAUGGCCCUCGAGAUUCCCAUCUUUGGCACCCCUCUCCAUUUUUGUGGGUGGGAUCUGUGACUAUAAUGGGAUCACUGCUCCCUUGAUUAGGUGCUGUUAUAUGAGACUCCAUCUGAGCAGACUGUCUAGUAAUUCACAGCUGGCCCCAAAGAAGCAAAUGGCCUUGUUAUGAACUACUUACCUCAGGUCCUAGCCGCAUGGCCCCCUUCAAAGGCUAAGAGUGACUCUCACCAACCAGCAAAGACAAAAUAGGAUGUCAUUUCUACAGCUACAAGGAACUGGUUUCUGCCCACAACCCCAAGCUCCAGAAGGAAUUCAGCCCAGCAAACACCCGGAUUUCAGUCUGUAAGACUCUGAGCAGAGACCCCAGCCACACUAUGCCUGGAUUCCUGACUCCUUGUAACUGUGAGAUAAUAAAAGGCUAAUGUUUUAUGUCAA
rnacentral:lncRNA from 1 species